rnacentral:rRNA from 1 species
AUGGCUGCUGAAGUUGGGCAGCCGUUCAGUGGAUGGACGCACUCAGAUUCGCCCUACAACGACCUCUGCACACAGGACGAUUCAGUUCAGAAAAUGGUACUUGAUCAUGGUUCGGUAUCAUUUGGUAGAUUUGCAGAAGAGUCUUUGUCAUGGGAGAACAGAUCAGUAUUUGAACACAACAGACGUCAGGAGGAGAUAAGCAAACUCACACUGCCUGGUUUAGUUGCACAGAAGAAGGCAUUUUUUGAAGAAUAUUACAAGAGGAAGGCUCAGAAAGCUAAACUUCUCACCGAAGCCACAUUGGAAGAAAGGAGUGAUGGCGACACUCUGGACCAUAGCAUGCAGGAAGAUAAUUCACAUGCAGUUGUUCCCGAAGAUCCUGUGGAUACUGCUCCAAGCUCCAGUUGUCAACCAUCUACUGGAGUGAGCUCAUCGGAUGAGAAUAAACGCUAUGAACCCCAUGGGCUAGGAUACUUGACAUUCAAUCCUCUGUUUUCUCGGAUAACAGGGUCGCAAGGUAUUCAAGAUGAGGAGGCAUCUAGUACUGCUCAAAAUCAACAUGUUGAUGGUGAGUUUCGGUGCGCUACGCGCACGAGUAGUAAACAUGGUCUCAACCAGGAAACCGUGGAGAGAAAGGUUCUUGCACCAAAGCAUGUGGUUUCAACUGAUUAUGGUGAAAGUAAUGUUGCUGCGUCGAGAAUUAGCUUGCCUAUAGCAAGUUUGAAAGCUGGUGUUAAGAAACAGGAGCCAAGAAAGAGCAUAGCGGCAGCUGUCAUUAACGGGUUGACAAAGGGGGCCAAGGACCCAUCAAGUUGUCUUAUCCAAAUUCCGAGAGUACAUUUAAGAAGAAACUCAGAAAACAUGAACUCUGAAGGCUUAAAGGAUCCUUUCCACAAGAGGGUUGAGAUGAAAUUGCGUGCUUUAUCUGAUAGGAUGAGUGCUGAGAAAGCUGCUGCCUCUUCUAGAUCUUCUCCGUAUCAAAAUGCUGAUAGAGCUGCCAUUUCUUCCAGAUCUGCUUUGUGCCAGAACACUGAUAGAGUCAUUGCACCAUCUAAAUCAGCUACACAAGCUUCUCACAAGUUUUUGAAAGAAGUACAGCCUGCAGCUACCCUUCCUCGUACAAAUUUCUACAACAAGGGAUUGUCUGUUUCUCAUGUUGCCUCUAGCAACAGCAGCAAUACUGGGAAGCUGGCUACUAGAAGCUCAGUUAUGCCCAAUUCACUUCAAAAUAAUGCAAAACCCUUGCAGGCUGCUCAGGUCGCAUCGAAAAGAGGCGCAGGUCUUACCAGUACAAGCAAUGGAUCGCAGAACAAAAGGAAGCAGCUGAGCACACCAGCGGCAUCAGUUGGAAGUAGCCAGAUUAGAGGAUCUAUGCACAUAUCUGCACCCACAAGUGCAAGAAGUAGCAGCAGCGGCAUCCGACCUUACAAAGCUGCAAAGGCACCCCGGAUUUCGAACGGGAGGAACGCAGCGGUUAAGACUGAAAUGAUGCAGAAGUCCACAACAUAUGAAACCCAUUCUGUUGGAGGAAGGAAUGCUUUGUCAGAAGUUACUGUAAACGGCAACGAACAAAACAGAAAGGUAAUCUUGUCGCGUGAUGGCAAAAGGAGCAACCUGGCGUGUAAGAGCAAGCCAAGACAGGAGAGGCCGCGAUGGCGAUGA